UAAUAAGGGUAUAAAAAAGAACGUGCGCUAACACGUUCUCUAUAGAACCGUUUAAGACGGUAGCAAAUUUUUAGUUAAAAAUAA
rnacentral:sRNA from 1 species